AGUAGGCUUACUGUGAGGAUCUGGAUCCAGCUGGGUCAGAUCGUUUCAGUAGGUUUACUGUGAGGAUCUGGAUCUGGAUCCAGCUGGGUCAGAUCGUUUCAGUAGGUUUACUGUGAGGAUCUGGAUCCUGCUGGUUCAGAUCGUUUCAGUAGGUUUACUGUGAGGAUCUGGAUCUGGAUCCUGCUGGUUCAGAUCGUUUCAGUAGGUUUACUGUGAGGAUCUGGAUCUGGAUCCUGCUGGGUCCGACCGUUUCAGUAGGUUUACUGUGAGGAUCUGGAUCCUGCUGGGUCCGACCGUUUCAGUAGGUUUACUGUGAGGAUCUGGAUCCUGCUGGGUCCGACCGUUUCAGUAGGUUUACUGUGAGGAUCUGGAUCCUGCUGGGUCCGACCGUUUCAGUAGGUUUACUGUGAGGAUCUGGAUCCUGCUGGGUCCGACCGUUUCAGUAGGUUUACUGUGAGGAUCUGGAUCCUGCUGGGUCCGACCGUUUCAGUAGGUUUACUGUGAGGAUCUGGAUCCUGCUGGGUCCGACCGUUUCAGUAAGUUUACUGUGAGGAUCUGGAUCAGGAUCCUGCUGGUUCAGAUCGUUUCAGUAGGUUUACUGUGAGGAUCAGGAUCCUGCUGGAUCAGAUCGUUUCAGUAGGUUUACUGUGAGGAUCUGGAUCCUGCUGGAUCAGACCGUUUCAGUAGGUUUACUGUGAGGAUCUGGAUCAGGAUCCUGCUGGAUCAGACCGUUUCAGUAGGUUUACUGUGAGGAUCUGGAUCCUGCUGGAUCAGACCGUUUCAGUAGGUUUACUGUGAGGAUCUGGAUCCUGCUGGGUCAGAUCGUUUCAGUAGGUUUACUGUGAGGAUCUGGAUCCUGCUGGGUCAGAUCGUUUCAGUAGGUUUACUGUGAGGAUCUGGAUCCUGCUGGGUCAGAUCGUUUCAGUAGGUUUACUGUGAGGAUCUGGAUCCUGCUGGUUCAGAUCGUUUCAGUAGGUUUACUGUGAGGAUCUGGAUCCUGCUGGUUCAGAUCGUUUCAGUAGGUUUACUGUGAGGAUCUGGAUCUGGAUCCUGCUGGAUCAGAUCGUUUCAGUAGGUUUACUGUGAGGAUCUGGAUCCUGUGUGACAGGUGUGUCUGAGUCUCACCUCAGAGUACGAGUCCAGACAGAUGGGACAGCUGAUCGUCCCCGGGGUCGACCUGAAACACAGAGACUCUGCUGGUUUCUACUGUCACAUCACACACAGACCAUGCUACCUGGGACCAGGUGGGUCAAACUACUACCUGGCUGUGAUGUAAAGACAACGUUAGCUGAGACCAGGUGGGUCGGACUACUACCUGGAGGAGCUGUUGGCGUGUAGAGAGGACAUUAGUGCAGCGUUGAGGACAGGGGGCGUGUCCUCGUCGUCAUCACUGCUGACGACGUAACUCUCUCCUGUGGUGACCCCGCCCCUGUUCUGAGGACCUGAUGGAGGACACCCAGAAAAUUGUUGCACUGUCUCUUUAAUGAAACUUUAUUUCAACAUGAAACUCAGGCAGAAUAAAAGUUUUACCUUCGUCCACCAGCUGGCUCAUCACGGCGGCGGAGGCAGAAGGAAAAGAGACCGUUA